GGCCCAGACUCCUACGGGAGGCAGCAGUGAGGAAUAUUGGUCAAUGGCCGAGAGGCUGAACCAGCCAAGUCGCGUGAGGGAAGACGGCCCUACGGGUUGUAAACCUCUUUUGUCGGGGAGCAAAGCGAGUCACGUGUGACUCAUUGAGAGUACCCGAAGAAAAAGCAUCGGCUAACUCCGUGCCAGCAGCCGCGGUAAUACGGAGGAUGCGAGCGUUAUCCGGAUUUAUUGGGUUUAAAGGGUGCGCAGGCGGAGGUGCAAGUCAGCGGUCAAAUUGCGGGGCUCAACCCCGUACUGCCGUUGAAACUGGCUUGCUAGAGUGGGCGAGAAGUAUGCGGAAUGCGUGGUGUAGCGGUGAAAUGCAUAGAUAUUGCGCAGAACUCCGAUUGCGAAGGCAGCCUACCGGCUCCUGUCUGACGCUGAGGCACGAAAGCGUGGGUAUCGAACAGGAUUAGAUACCCCAGUA
rnacentral:rRNA from 1 species